AUUGAACGCUGGCGGCAUGCCUUACACAUGCAAGUCGAACGGCAGCGCGGACUUCGGUCUGGCGGCGAGUGGCGAACGGGUGAGUAAUGUAUCGGAACGUACCAUUCAGUGGGGGAUAACGCAGCGAAAGUUGCGCUAAUACCGCAUAGUCUGUGCGCAGGAAAGCAGGGGAGCGCAAGACCUUGCGCUGAUUGAGCGGCCGAUAUCAGAUUAGCUAGUUGGUGAGGUAAAGGCUCACCAAGGCGACGAUCUGUAGCGGGUCUGAGAGGAUGAUCCGCCACACUGGAACUGAGACACGGUCCAGACUCCUACGGGAGGCAGCAGUGGGGAAUUUUGGACAAUGGGCGCAAGCCUGAUCCAGCCAUGCCGCGUGAGUGAAGAAGGCCUUCGGGUUGUAAAGCUCUUUCGGCCGGGAAGAAAUCGUAUGGGUUAAUACCCUGUGCGGAUGACGGUACCGGCAUAAGAAGCACCGGCUAACUACGUGCCAGCCGCCGCCGUAAGAC
rnacentral:rRNA from 1 species